GACGAACGCUGGCGGCGUGCUUAACACAUGCAAGUCGAACGGAAAGGCCUGCUUUCCCUUGUGGAUUGCGGGUACUCGAGUGGCGAACGGGUGAGUAACACGUGAGUGAUCUGCCCCCAACUUGGGUAUAAGCCUGGGAAACUGGGUCUAAUUCCCGAUAGGACUGCAGGGUGGUGCCUGUGGUGGAAAACGUUUUUCUAGUGGUUGGGGAUGAGCUCGCGGCCUAUCAGCUUGUUGGUGGGGUAAUGGCCUACCAAGGCGGCGACGGGUAGCCGGCCUGGGAGGAUGGCAGGCAAUAGUGAGACUGACAAUCGGCCCAGAUACUUACGAGAGGAAGCAGUGGCGAAUCCUGCACAAUGAGCGGAAUCCUGGAGCAGCGACGCAGUGUCGGCAAUGGCGGCAUUAGGGUUAUGAACUAUUUUCGACCGAGCGGAAGCCACCUGGUUGGAAGGGUGGUGACGGUAGUGGUAGAAGAAGCCACGGCUAACUACGUG
rnacentral:rRNA from 1 species